rnacentral:rRNA from 1 species
UUUAUAUGGAGAGUUUGAUCCUGGCUCAGAGUGAACGCUGGCGGCGUGCCUAAUACAUGCAAGUCGAACGAACGAAUAAGAGCUUGCUCUUAUAAGUUAGUGGCGCACGGGUGAGUAAUAUAUAGCUAAUCUGCCUCUUAGUAGAGGAUAACAGUCGGAAACGAUUGCUAAUACUCUAUACUUCUGCUUUACAUAAGUAAAGUAGAGAAAGUUUUUCGCUAAGAGAUGAGGCUAUACUGUAUCAGCUAGUUGGUAAGGUAACGGCUUACCAAGGCUAUGACGCAUAACUGGUCUGAGAGGAUGAUCAGUCACAUUGGAACUGAGACACGGUCCAAACUCCUACGGGAGGCAGCAGUAGGGAAUAUUGCGCAAUGGGGGAAACCCUGACGCAGCAACGCCGCGUGGAGGAUGACACUUUUCGGAGCGUAAACUCCUUUUAUCGGGAAAGAAUAAUGACGGUACCCGAUGAAUAAGCACCGGCUAACUCCGUGCCAGCAGCCGCGGUAAUACGGAGGGUGCAAGCGUUACUCGGAAUCACUGGGCGUAAAGGGUGCGUAGGUGGAUUAUCAAGUCUCUUGUGAAAUCUAAUAGCUUAACUAUUAAAUUGCUUGGGAAACUGAUAGUCUAGAGUAGGGGAGAGGCAGAUGGAACUCUUGGUGUAGGAGUAAAAUCCGUAGAUAUCAAGAAGAAUACCUAUUGCGAAAGCGAUCUGCUAGAACCUAACUGACACUGAUGCACGAAAGCGUGGGGAGCAAACAGGAUUAGAUACCCUGGUAGUCCACGCCCUAAACGAUGUAUACCGGUUGUUGCUUUGCUAGUCAAGGCAGUAAUCCAGCUAACGCAUUAAGUAUACCGCCUGGGGAGUACGGUCGCAAGAUUAAAACUCAAAGGAAUAGACGGGGACCCGCACAAGCGGUGGAGCAUGUGGUUUAAUUCGAAGAUACGCGAAGAACCUUACCCGGACUUGAUAUCUAACAAAUCAUCCAGAGAUGGAAGAGUGUCUGCUUGCAGAAAUGUUAAGACAGGUGCUGCACGGCUGUCGUCAGCUCGUGUCGUGAGAUGUUGGGUUAAGUCCCGCAACGAGCGCAACCCACGUAUUUAGUUGCUAACAGUUAGGCUGAGUUCUCUAAAUAGACUGCCUUCGUAAGGAGGAGGAAGGUGUGGACGACGUCAAGUCAUCAUGGCCCUUAUGUCCGGGGCGACACACGUGCUACAAUGACAUAUACAAUGAGAUGCAAUAUCGCAAGAUGGAGCAAAUCUAUAAAAUAUGUCCCAGUUCGGAUUGGAGUCUGCAACUCGACUCCAUGAAGCCGGAAUCGCUAGUAAUCGUAGAUCAGCCAUGCUACGGUGAAUACGUUCCCGGGUCUUGUACUCACCGCCCGUCACACCAUGGGAGUUGAUUUCACUCGAAGCGGGGAUGCAAAAUUUGCUACCCUCCACAGUGGAAUCAGCGACUGGGGUGAAGUCGUAACAAGGUAACCGUAGGAGAACCUGCGGUUGGAUCACCUCCUUUCU